rnacentral:rRNA from 1 species
UACGUAGGGUGCAAGCGUUAAUCGGAAUUACUGGGCGUAAAGCGUGCGCAGGCGGUGAUGUAAGACAGAUGUGAAAUCCCCGGGCUCAACCUGGGAACUGCAUUGUGACUGCAUCGCUGGAGUGGCGAGAGGGGGAUGGAAUUCCGCGUGUAGCAGUGAAAUGCGUAGAUAUGCGGAGGAACACCGAUGGCGAAGGCAAUCCCCUGGGCCA